UACGUAGGGCGCAAGCGUUGUCCGGAAUUAUUGGGCGUAAAGAGCUCGUAGGCGGCUUGUCACGUCGGGUGUGAAAGCCCGGGGCUUAACCCCGGGUCUGCAUUCGAUACGGGCUAGCUAGAGUGUGGUAGGGGAGAUCGGAAUUCCUGGUGUAGCGGUGAAAUGCGCAGAUAUCAGGAGGAACACCGGUGGCGAAGGCGGAUCUCUGGGCCAUUACUGACGCUGAGGAGCGAAAGCGUGGGUAGCGAACAGG
rnacentral:rRNA from 1 species